rnacentral:rRNA from 1 species
UCGAGGAUCUUUGGCAAUGGGCGCGAGCCUGACCAAGCGACGCCGCGUGUGCGAUGAAGGCCUUCGGGUUGUAAAGCACUGUCGAGGGGGAGGAAGCCGAAAGGUUGACCUAUCCCUGGAGGAAGGACGGGCUAAGUUCGUGCCAGCAGCCGCGGUAAGACGAACCGUCCAAACGUUGUUCGGAAUCACUGGGCUUAAAGGGCGCGUAGGCGGGUGAGCAAGUCUAUGGUGAAAUCCUCCGGCUUAACCGGAGAACUGCCGUGGAUACUGCACACCUCGAGGAGGAUAGGGGCAUCUGGAACUAGCGGUGGAGCGGUGAAAUGCGUUGAUAUCGCUAGGAACUCCGGUGGCGAAGGCGAGAUGCUGGAUCCUUUCUGACGCUGAGGCGCGAAAGCCAGGGGAGCGAACGG